UACGUAGGGUGCGAGCGUUACUCGGAAUUACUGGGCGUAAAGCGUGCGCAGGCGGCUUUGCAAGUCAGAUGUGAAAUCCCCGGGCUUAACCUGGGAACUGCAUUUGUGACUGCAUGGCUGGAGUGCGGCAGAGGGGGAUGGAAUUCCGCGUGUAGCAGUGAAAUGCGUAGAUAUGCGGAGGAACACCGAUGGCGAAGGCAAUCCCCUGGGCCUGCACUGACGCUCAUGCACGAAAGCGUGGGGAGCAAACAGG
rnacentral:rRNA from 1 species